GCGUCGGAGCUGCGACUCGCCUGAAAGGGAGCGAAGCUGGCCGAGCGAACUAGACUUUUUUUCAGGGACGCUUGGCGGCCGAGAGCGAGUGUUGCGAGACAACAAAAAGCUCGACCUCAAAUCAGGUAGGAAUACCCGCUGAACUUAAGCAUAUCAAUAAGCGGAGGAAAAGAAACCAACAGGGAUUGCCUCAGUAGCGGCGAGUGAAGCGGCAAGAGCUCAGAUUUGAAAUCGUGCUUUGCGGCACGAGUUGUAGAUUGCAGGUUGGAGUCUGUGUGGAAGGCGGUGUCCAAGUCCCUUGGAACAGGGCGCCCAGGAGGGUGAGAGCCCCGUGGGAUGCCGGCGGAAGCAGUGAGGCCCUUCUGACGAGUCGAGUUGUUUGGGAAUGCAGCUCCAAGCGGGUGGUAAAUUCCAUCUAAGGCUAAAUACUGGCGAGAGACCGAUAGCGAACAAGUACUGUGAAGGAAAGAUGAAAAGCACUUUGAAAAGAGAGUGAAACAGCACGUGAAAUUGUUGAAAGGGAAGGGUAUUGCGCCCGACAUGGGGAUUGCGCACCGCUGCCUCUCGUGGGCGGCGCUCUGGGCUUUCCCUGGGCCAGCAUCGGUUCUUGCUGCAGGAGAAGGGGUUCUGGAACGUGGCUCUUCGGAGUGUUAUAGCCAGGGCCAGAUGCUGCGUGCGGGGACCGAGGACU
rnacentral:rRNA from 1 species